AUCUUGGGAAGGUGCAGCACGGCCGGCGGCGGCGCGGCGCCAUCUUGGGGCAGUCGGGACGCGGCGGCCCGGCAGCGCCGUAAGCGGGCCGGGGGCUGCUGGGGGUCGCCUGGAGCCCGGCGCGUUGUGCUCUGCGGGCAGCGACAGCCUCCAGCCUUGUUAUUUUUUCAUCUUUUGUUCUGAGCUUAGCCUCGGGACAAAGCCAGCAGGCACGAAGCUUGUCAGUUGUGUUCUGUUCCGGUGUUGUUAACUCUGCUCAAGUGCAAGUUCUUCCUGUCACACAGAAGGAUGCCCCUGUAGGCUUUUCCAAACCAAGCUCUGCCGCUGUCGGCUGCUGCGUCACUAGCAGGAUGAAAACUUGGUGCCGAGAUCCUCUGCCUUUUCUAUGCCUUUUGUCAUGUUCUGGCCUCUUUUCCAGCCCUGGGGAUCAGGAAUGUUGGACCUUCCAUCAGGAACUGGUAUUUGUCUUUAAACUGCGAAGUGUUUAGAUGCUUCCGAAGCUUGCUUUCUAUUUCUGUAAAAUGUCCGGUGUCAUGUUCGUGCCCAGGUGCUUGUCAGACUGGUGACGUCCUCUGGGCAGCCAUCAGCCAUGGUGUUGCGGAGGGUCUGCUUGCCAGCUGCUUUCUAACCGAACUAAUGCUGGCCUACAAGACCACAGUAACGUGGCGGAGGGACACUUUUAAUGGUUGUACCCCCUGCUUUCUCCUUGCAGUCUGUCAAUAUUGGUGAGGGGCAGCAGUGUGAAUUUUUUACUGAGUACGUUCAGUUUGUACUCUAGGUGUUCUUCCCAGCUGUGAGAGUUAGAAACAUACCUGCUUUAAAUGAAAAUACCAGCAUGCUGCAGUUACAGCCUCAGUUCAUCGAGCACGUGAAUGGAGCCUUGGAUGACCAGCCCUCCCGACUUACCGCCUGCUUUGAGUAUUUUUCCAUCCAGUCUGAGAAGACAAGGUGCUGCCGUCUGUCGGUCGGUAGCCUCUCCUUGGGAAGGGUUUGGUUACCUGUGCCUCGGAGCAGAGCGCCUGGGGGAGCUUGUCAGCAAAAAGAGGGUGGGCUGCGGGCAGGAGGAGGGCAAGUCCCGCGGAAGGCAGUAACGCUUCAGCCUGAUUUGCUUUUUCUCUGUAGCUCUCCAGUGCCCGCUAGUGAUGUGACAUCUGUGGGACUGUGGCUACAAGUCCCCGCAGCUGGGAUAUAUUGAUGCCUGAUGCUUUGGAUCCUAGUGACACUGCUGAUGUGCUCCUUUAGUACUGGUUUUCUUUGUUUUAAAAUAAAGUCUUUGUUUUUUCUAGAUAGAUGAAGAAGGGGGCAAUAUAUUUAAAAAGACUACAUUCACUAGAAUGUUUUCAUUCAGAUGCCUUUUAAAAUGUGUUUAAAAUCCACUCAGGAAGAGCGAGGCUUUCUUGAGACCUGUCAAUAGUUUGUCACAUAGUACCUUUAUGCUCCCGGUUCAAACAGCAAAUAUUUAUUUCCCUAUUAGUGAGCGUAGCUUUGUCCAAAUAACUGCAGCUUCCUGUUAAGCUUUCCUCGACCAGACUGUGCCUUUAACUGUUUUAGGAAGAAUGAUGCUGCCUGGAAUUGAACAGGGAUAAUGCAAGUCAUGGAAGGAAAACAAAGCCACCACAACAUUAGUUCUAAUUUGUUUUGGUUAAGCCGUAAUUCAGUGAAAUGCUGAUGCUGGAUGCUCAAAGCAUGAUGCCAUGAAGGAUGUACUUACCCCAACUUCACAGUAUGUAUCAGUUUGCUUCUGAAGACCUCUAAAUUGGAGCAAUAUAUAUAUUUUCCAAGUCUCUGUUCCAGAACAUAAUUUCUUAAACUUUUCAAUCUGUAAUUAUAAAUUGUUUUGUUCACUUUUUUUGCAAUCUGAUCUUGAAGUACUUGUGUUGUCGUCAUUUAUUUGUUUCCUGUGAAGUACUGUUGCUUGACCAGAAGGUGGAUUUGUAAAUCUCAUGCUACUUACCAUAAUUUCGCCAUCUGUAAACAUUGCAGUUGUCAGUGAAUUAAAAAAAAUCUGUCCGUA